rnacentral:rRNA from 1 species
CUAGGUGGGAUUAGCUAGUUGGUGAGGUAAGGGCUCACCAAGGCGACGAUCCCUAGCUGGUCUGAGAGGAUGAUCAGCCACACUGGAACUGAGACACGGUCCAGACUCCUACGGGAGGCAGCAGUGGGGAAUAUUGCACAAUGGGCGCAAGCCUGAUGCAGCCAUGCCGCGUGUGUGAAGAAGGCCUUCGGGUUGUAAAGCACUUUCAGUCGUGAGGAAGGCGGCGUCGUUAAUAGCGGCGUUGUUUGACGUUAGCGACAGAAGAAGCACCGGCUAACUCCGUGCCAGCAGCCGCGGUAAU